GCAUAUCAUAGCGGAGGAAAAAGAAAACUAACAAGGAUUCCCCCUAGUAACUGCGAGUGAAGCGGGAAAAAGCUCAAAUUUAAAAUCUGGCGGUCUUCGAUCGUCCGAGUUGUAGUCUGGAGAAGCGUCUUCCGCGCUGGACCGUGUACAAGUCUCUUGGAACAGAGCGUCGUAGAGGGUGAGAAUCCCGUCUUUGACACGGACUACCAGUGCUUUGUGAUGCGCUCUCAAAGAGUCGAGUUGUUUGGGAAUGCAGCUCAAAAUGGGUGGUAAAUUCCAUCUAAAGCUAAAUAUUGGCGAGAGACCGAUAGCGAACAAGUACCGUGAGGGAAAGAUGAAAAGCACUUUGGAAAGAGAGUUAAACAGUACGUGAAAUUGCUGAAAGGGAAACGAUUGAAGUCAGUCGCGUCGUCUAGAACUCAACCUUGCCUCGGCUCGGUGCAUUUUCUAGUUGACGGGCCAGCAUCAGUUUUGACCGUUGGAAAAAGGUCCUUGGAAUGUGGCACCUUCGGGUGUGUUAUAGCCUUGGGUCGUAUACGACGGUUGGGACUGAGGACCGCAGCACGCCUUUAUGGCCGGGGUUCGCCCACGUACGUGCUUAGGAUGCUGGCGUAAUGGCUUUAAACGACCCGUCUUGAAACACGGACCAAGGAGUCUAACAUGCCUGCGAGUGUUUGGGUGGUAAACCCGAGCGCGUAACGAAAGUGAAAGUUGGGAUCCCUGUCGUGGGGAGCACCGACGCCCACACCAGACCUUCUGUGACGGAUGUGCGGUUGAGCAUGUAUGUUGGGACCCGAAAGAUGGUGAACUAUGCCUGAAUAGGGUGAAGCCAGAGGAAACUCUGGUGGAGGCUCGUAGCGAUUCUGACGUGCAAAUCGAUCGUCAAAUUUGGGUAUAGGGGCGAAAGACUAAUCGAAACCAUCUAGUAGCUGGGUUCCUGCCGA
rnacentral:rRNA from 1 species